GCCUACGGAGCUGUGAGGGGAACGGCACCUCCGUACCUUCAGGCUCUGAUCAGGCCCUACACCCAAACAAGGGCACUGCGUUCAUCCACCUCUGGCCUGCUCGCCUCCCUACCUCUGAGGAAGUACAGUUCCCGCUCAGCCCAGUCAAAACUGUUCGCUGCUCUGGCACCCCAAUGGUGGAACAAACUCCCUCACGACGCCAGGUCAGCGGAGUCAAUCACCACCUUCCGGAGACACCUGAAACCCCACCUCUUUAAGGAAUACCUAGGAUAGGAUAAAGUAAUCCUUCUAACCCCCCCCCCCCUAAAAGAUUUAGAUGCACUAUUGUAAAAUGGUUGUUCCACUGGAUAUCAUAAGGUGAAUGCACCAAUUUGUAAGUCGCUCUGGAUAAGAGCGUCUGCUAAAUGACUUAAAUGUAAUGUAAAUGUAAUUGUUUGUACAGAUGAACAUGGUAACUUCAGGCGUUUGGAAAUUGCUCCCAAGGAUGAAACAGACUUGUCGAGAUCUUGGCUGAUUUCUUUUGAUUUUCCCAUGAUGUCAAGCAAAGAGGCACUGAGUUUGAAGGUAGGCCUUGAAAUACAUCCACAGGUACACCUCCAUUUGACUCAAAUGAUGUCAACAAGAAAUUUCUGGAGUGGUUGAAAAAUGAGUUUUAUUGACUCCAACCUAAGUGUAUGUAAACUUCUGACUUCAACUGUACAUAGAAGAUUUGUAAUAUUCUGAAAGUGGCCAAACUAAUAUUUUUCAGGCAAUGGGCGCAACCAUCUUUGACUUUGACUUUGUUUACUAGCGUCUUGUAGUGAAUGGCAUUCUGGGACUAGGGAGUUUUCGCUUGUCAAACAUAAAAAACAUGGCUGCCUUUAUAAAGAAUUUAGCUGCUGUUAGCUUAGCUGACACGCAUCUCUUUUCUAAACAAUAUGACAUUUCUCCCUUGUGCUUACCAGGGAUGUGGUACAUUGUAAGCAAGUCUAGCUGUUAGGUCGCUAACUUAUAUUUAGUUUUUUUGUCAGCGCAACCUGUUAUUUAGAUUGGUUUAUGGAAUGAGUUUGGAUGUGGAAGUAUUCCAUGUGAUACUUGGAUGAUGAAGGUGAAAUUGAGGAAUAAAGUUGUGAAGACCUUUAUUUCUCAUCACCACAAAACAUUGUUUAGAUGCUUUUCAGACAACAAUGCUGUGUAACCCGUUUGUUGCAUCAUACGUUCUGUUGCUACUGUUCCAAUCACAUAUUUGCGAUGGUACACUGAAGGGACCACUCAAUAAUGAUCACAAAUAUGUGAUUGUACGGUUCAAAGGGUUAGGGCUACAACCUAUAGGAAUCCCCACCCAGUUGACUACUUUAAAAUGGCAGAAGCAUGGUGGAAGCUCUCAACGGCGCUGACCAUGCUAAAAUGGCAUUUUGGCCACGAAUGGCCUAUAUCAGUCUCUAUGAGUUUAACAUUACUUGUGUAGCUAGUAAGCUAUCCAGGGUUGUUAUUUGUUGAAGCUAACACUACAUAGAAAUGAUGUGUCUCUGGUAGGCUAACAUUAUCUAAGUCUUUCAUGAACAAGGAAGCUAGCUUACGUUAGCUAACUAAUAGAAAUAAUGUUAUGAUUUUUUUGGUUUAACGUUUGGCUACAAAGUUGGAGGUAGAAACCCAAUGUUACACAUGCCUCCAGCAAGUGAAGGUCUCCAAAGUGACUUACAUUAAAAAGGUCAAGCUAAAUACACUCCCUAUGUUGUUUUCUUGGUUUUCAGUUCUUCUAGCUAAUGUUUAACGAUGUAAGUUGUCCUCCGACCAAGUGACUGGCGAAAAAACUUUCAGUCUUUGAAGAUUUAUUUCCAAACGUGGUGCGCUUGAGCACUGUCUUUAGAAGUCACACCUCACGAGCACCGCUGAGCAACCGCUUCAUCAAGGCUUGGAAUUGACUUAAGGACCGCUUGAGUGCUUAAAGUUUCUUCCUUAAAAUUUUUGUAGCUAACUUUAGCUACCGUUACUUUUAUUUUGGUGUUCAGCAGUAGCUCUAAUUUGCCAAUGUCGAGGUAUAAACGGUACCUCCGGGAUGUCAACUAUAAGAUAUCGAUGAAGCAAUGUAAGUAACGUUAGCUAGUUAGCUUGCCUAACCUUUGCCUCUAAUAUCUCUGAAUAAAAUUAUUAUUUGUUGUAUGAGAACUGCAUGGAUGCUCAAUUGAACUUGGACAAGUAUGAUGUGGAUGAAAAUAGCCAGGAAACAUUAGACCCACUAGGUUUGCACAGGUUUGCUAGCAGUGCUGACACAGUCUCCUCUACUUUGUUUCAGGGGAACCUUGUGAAUGAAUGCCCAACUGAACUUGGACCAUGAUGAAGGAAAAAAACGUGAGAAGCAGGGGAACCUCAGGAAUACUGGACUAGACUUGGACCAUGAUGAAGACAUGGAUGAUGAUGGCCAGGCAACAUUUGAAGAUAUGGACACUGAUGAAGACCCCUUAGACGAAAGAGAGCAAGAGGCAUAUGGAAGACCACUCUUUGACAGAUCAAGCCUUACUGUUGGUGGUGCUAUUGUUCUCAUCAUGUGUUUUGUUGUAUGAUUCAAUCUGUCAUGGCUUGCUCUGCAAGGGCUGCUUACGUUGCUCUCUGCAUUGAAGCCAAACUGUAAUCUCUUUACCACCUGUUCAUACAUUUUCAAAGUAUGUAAGGGUAUAGUGGAGUUUAAUUUUGUUUGCCCUGAAUGUUCUACACACAUAGGUUCUAACUGUAAUGCUACGUGCAGUUAUUGCCAUACAGAGACAAGGUCGAACACACCAAAAAAAACGUUUUUUCAUUGUAAUUCCAAUGAAGCAACAACUACGUGAAAUGUUUGAGAAUAGCAAUCUGUUGGAUUUUAUCACAUAAUCUGAGGAAAACAUUGAAGGCAUUUAUGAUGUUAAACAAUACAAAACUAUUGAAGCAUUAUCUGAUGUAAACAAUAUUUAAUUGACAUAGAAUUCUGAUGGUGCAUCAGUUUUCAAAUCACCAGAUAUCCAUAUGGCCUAUACACUUGUUAUGAAUGAGUUGCCCUUUAAGAGCAAUCAUGCAGUAAGAUAUAAUGCAAUAAGAAAUAGUGUUAAAGGUGCAUCCCCUUUGUUGCUUAUUGACUCAUUUGACAUUGUCAAAGGUUUUCCUCUUAGGUGUUACUAAGUACAUGAACAACUUGUGGUUUGACUCUUUACAUCAUAUUUCCCCAUGGUACAUUGGUAGAGAAGUUGGUGACGUUGACAAACGCUUGAAUAGUGUAAUGCUUCUAAAGAGUGUUACCAGAACUCCAAGGUCAAAGAGCACUUUGUAAAGCUUCUGAAUGGGGGAACUGGCUUUUGUUUUACUCACUCAUUUGUGUUAAUGGUAAUUCUUCCAAUGAUCUAUCUAAGGCACUUUCUAGUUGAAGGUAUUGGCUUGCUGCUUCUAGAAUCAAUAAGUCCAAAUGACCUAUUGAGAGCAAAUUAAUUGUUGACAACCUUUGUCACAAAAGUCCCAGAUUUAUAUGCUAUGAAUCACAUGACCUUUCAUAUUCAUCAACUACUUCCUAUUACAGAGUCGGUGGAGAACUGGGGUCCCCUGUGGAGCACAUCAAACGUUAUGUUUGAAACUGGGAACCACACAUUACUAAACUUAGUUAGAGGCACCCAGUGUGUACCUCAGCAAAUUGCUAAGACAUUUGUCAUCUUCCGACAACUACCACUUUAAAAAAAAAGAACAUCUCAAAGAGGGACACCGUGUCAGUGAUUUUUUAUUUUAAUCUAUUAAGGGCUUCUUUUAUGUUAAAAAUGCUGAAAAAUUCAAUGAUUCUGUCACCUUAAUUAGGACACCAAAGUGGACUAACCUUAUCUAUUCAACAAGCUCUAGAGGUUGCUAAUGUCAAUGUUGUCCCAGACCAACUGAUGUUCUAUUCCACUGCAGUUGCU